CUACGGGGGGCUGCAGUGAGGAAUAUUGCACAAUGGGGGGAACCCUGAUGCAGCAACGCCGCGUGGAGGAUGACGCAUUUCGGUGUGUAAACUCCUUUUAUAUGUCAAGAAAAUGACGGUAGCAUAUGAAUAAGCACCGGCUAACUCCGUGCCAGCAGCCGCGGUAAUACGGAGGGGUGCAGGCGUUAUUCGGAAUCACUGGGCGUAAAGGACGCGUAGGCGGGUUGGAAAGUCAGGUGUGAAAUCCUACGGCUUAACUGUAGAACUGCACUUGAAACUUCUAAUCUAGAGUAUGGGAGGGGGAGAUGGAAUUAGUGGUGUAGGGGUAAAAUCCGUAGAUAUCACUAGGAAUACCUAAAGCGAAGGCGAUCUCCUGGAACAUUACUGACGCUAAGGCGUGAAAGCGUGGGGAGCAAACAGGAUUAGAUACCCCGGUAGUC
rnacentral:rRNA from 1 species